AGCGGCCGAAGGUGGGAUUGAUGAUUGGGGUGAAGUCGUAACAAGGUAGCCGUAGGAGAACCUGCGGCUGGAUCACCUCCUUU
rnacentral:rRNA from 1 species